rnacentral:rRNA from 1 species
UACGUAGGGUGCAAGCGUUAAUCGGAAUUACUGGGCGUAAAGCGUGCGCAGGCGGUUAUGUAAGACAGUUGUGAAAUCCCCGGGCUCAACCUGGGAAUUGCAUCUGUGACUGCAUAGCUAGAGUACGGUAGAGGGGGAUGGAAUUCCGCGUGUAGCAGUGAAAUGCGUAGAUAUGGGGAGGAACACCGAUGGCGAAGGCAAUCCCCUGGACCUGUCCUGACGCUCAUGCACGAAAGCGUGGGGAGCAAACAGG